AUUGAACGGCUGGCGGCAGGCUUAACACAUGCAAGUCGAACGGUAACGGGUUGAAAGCUUGCUUUCAAUGCUGACGAGUGGCGGACGGGUGAGUAAGGCUUGGGGAUCUGGCUUUUGGAGGGGGAUAACCAUUGGAAACGACUGCUAAUACCGCAUAAGCCCACGACCCGGCAUCGGGUUGAGGGAAAAGGAGCAAUCCGCUUUGAGAUGGCCUCGCGUCCGAUUAGCUAGUUGGUGAGGUAACGGCCCACCAAGGCGACGAUCGGUAGCCGGACUGAGAGGUUGAACGGCCACAUUGGGACUGAGACACGGCCCAG
rnacentral:rRNA from 1 species